ensembl:lncRNA LINC00343 long intergenic non-protein coding RNA 343
AGGCUGCAGUGAAUUCUACAAAGAGGCUAUGGGAAAGAAACCUGGAAAGUACCCUUGGCUGUGUACAUUUGAGUAAAGAGAGCACUAUAAAAUCAAAAACCAAUGAAAUGGUUUCCAGAACACAGAACUAUUAAGCUUAAGAAAAGGACAGAAGGAACUGAAGAGAGAGGAACUGUUUUGGAGCAUCACACUUCCACCUCAGAAGAAAUAAGGAAGGAAGGAGGAGGGUGUUCCCACGGCUCUUCAACCAGGCCGGCUCUUCAGCCUACAUCCCCAUCUCAUCAAGUAAAAGGGAUUUUUCAACUGGACCAACCAGAUGGUUUAACAGUGCACUCCCACACCAUUCAACUACGCAAGGGAGAUACACUUAACAUAUGCAGUCGUAUAACACCUACUAACAUUUUCAAACAUUAAACCUUUAAAAAAGAGUUCUAAAGAAAUAGAAGCUUGAAGUAUCAUCUCUCAAGUAUAUAGACACUACUUCAUGGUGUGGUAAUAUAUGCAUAUAGAAGCUAGUAAACACCUCCAGGAGAUGCAAAAGGAAUUAGAACUGCCACAAGGUGCAAGCAAAACCUUGAGCUUCUUUAAAAUAUGAAGACUUCGAAGUUAUUUAUCCAAACCAACCUGAUCAUUUCUUAAGAGUGAAUAUACCUUGGAAGACGUGUCCUGCCUUUAGUAGCGUCACAAUGGAUUACAUCCUCUAUAAAGCAGUCUGGGUUCUGUUUUUCCUCUUCUAAUCCUUCACCCAUCUGAGCUAAAGUCUAGACCUAAGGAGGCUACUAAUUCAGGGAUCGAGUAAUCUGCCAAGCAAGAGUUUAUUCAAGCACAGUUUGAAAUAAAGGUUUCAAAUGCAUAGCCUGUCGAUACUUUGGAAGGAUUCUCAUCAUAACGAGUAUGCAAUUUGCUAUAAAGAAGAAUGCCCAUUACGGACUAAAUGUUUAUGUCCUCCUAAAAUUCAUAUGUUGAAGGCCUAACUCUCAAUGUGAUGAUUAUGUGGAGAUGGUGCCUUUGGGAGGAUAUGGGAGGACACCUGAGACGGCAGGCCAGAAGUCACUCAGUAGGAGAAACAUCCGUUAGAAGUAAUAAUGUGGGAUUGCUGAAGUAAAGACUAUAGGAAGAAAAAAGUGUCUGUGUGUAGGAAACGGAAAGGGAGAGAAAAAUACACUGAGAUGGUAAAGUAAGGAAGUGGAAGAUCAGCAGAAUGUGCAGAUGCCAAGCCAUCCAAGAAAAUCAUCUCUUGUGAUUGUUGCGAAGUCAACUAGCUAAUGUGACUCACUGCUAGGCUGUUGGAUCUGAGACUUAUGUGGGAUAAUUUAGAAACUUGCUAGUGUCUUAAGAUCAAUUACUCACCAAUGAGAGUGGCAUUGAACUGUGAAUGUUCCUCCUAGAUUUUCCAUGAAGACUAAUGGUUUUGUCUUGUCUUGAAUUUGUUUUAAUUACAAUUUGUAUACAUCCUGUUCCACCCUGAAAUUUUUAUUUUCCAAAUGGUUUUUCAUUUAAAGAGACUAAAUAAAGGUUCUGACUGAGUUGUA